AACGAACGCUGGCGGCAGGCUUAACACAUGCAAGUCGAACGAGAUCUUCGGAUCUAGUGGCAGACGGGUGAGGAACACGUGGGAACAUCCCUUUCAGUUCGGAAUAACGUUGGGAAACUAACGCUAAUACCGGAUACGUCCUUCGGGAGAGAGAUUUAUCGCUGAAAGAUUGGCCCGCGUCUGAUUAGCUAGUUGGUGAGGUAAUGGCUCACCAAGGCUACGAUCAGUAGCUGAUCUGAGGGGAUGAUCAGCCACAUUGGGACUGAGACACGGCCCAAACUCCUACGGGAGGCAGCAGUGGGGAAUAUUGGACAAUGGGCGCAAGCCUGAUCCAGCAUGCCGCGUGAGUGAUGAAGGCCUUCGGGUUGUAAAGCUCUUUUAUCCGGGAAGAUAAUGACUGUACCGGAAGAAUAAGCCCCGGCAAACUUCGUGCCAGCCGCCGCGGUAA
rnacentral:rRNA from 1 species